rnacentral:rRNA from 1 species
GUGGCUUCUGGAGCUAACGCGUUAAAUCGACCGCCUGGGGAGUACGGCCGCAAGGUUAAAACUCAAAUGAAUUGACGGGGGCCCGCACAAGCGGUGGAGCAUGUGGUUUAAUUCGAUGCAACGCGAAGAACCUUACCUACUCUUGACAUCCAGCGAAUCCUUUAGAGAUAGAGGAGUGCCUUCGGGAACGCUGAGACAGGUGCUGCAUGGCUGUCGUCAGCUCGUGUUGUGAAAAUGUUGGGUUAAGUCCCGCAACGAGCGCAACCCUUAUCCUUUGUUGCCAGCGCGUUAUGGUGGGAACUCAAAGGAGACUGCCGGUGAUAAACCGGAGGAAGGUGGGGAUGACGUCAAGUCAUCAUGGCCCUUACGAGUAGGGCUACACACGUGCUACAAUGGCAGAUACAAAGAGAAGCGA